UUGGCUCAGGAUGAACGCUGGCGGCAUGCCUAAUACAUGCAAGUCGAAUGGUUUAGCUUGCUAGACCAUGGCGAACGGGUGAGUAACACGUAGGUAACCUACCUUAAGGACGAGGAUAACCUUUGGAAACGAAGGAUAAUACUGGAUAGGACAUCACAAAUCACAUGAUUAGAUGUUUAAAGGAGCGAUCCACCAUAAGAGGGGCCUGCGGCGCAUUAGCUAGUUGGUGAGGUAAGGGCCCACCAAGGCGAUGAUGCGUAGCUGGACUGAGAAGUUGAACAGCCACAAUGGGACUGAGAACGGCCCAUACUCCUACGGGAGGCAGCAGUGGGGAAUA
rnacentral:rRNA from 1 species